UCACCCUUGUUACUACUGAAAGGGUGGGCCUACGCCGGCCGACUCCAUCUUGUUCUGUGUCCUCCACCUUGAGUGACUAUGUCCCGGACAUGACCCCUUUUCCGGGAAAAUCGAAGAAACCUCAGACCGCGCCUCCUCCCCUUGAGUAACCUCCCGCUCACCCGUUCAAACUUCCUGAUCAAAACACGCCCAGCGACCUGCGUAACAGGACGC